rnacentral:ncRNA from 1 species
GGUCAAGCGAAUAAGCGCACACGGUGGAUGCCUUGGCGGUCAGAGGCGAUGAAGGACGUGGCAGCCUGCGAAAAGUAUCGGGGAGCUGGCAACAAGCUUUGAUCCGGUAAUGUCCGAAUGGGGAAACCCACCCGCUUGCGGGUAUCCUGCAGUGAAUACAUAGCUGCUGGAAGCGAACCUGGUGAACUGAAAUAUCUAAGUAACCAGAGGAAAAGAAAUCAACCGAGAUUCCCUGAGUAGCGACGAGCG